GAUGGAAGAACGCAGCGAAAUGCGAUAAGUAAUGUGAAUUGCAGAAUUCAGUGAAUCAUCGAAUCUUUGAACGCACAUUGCGCCCAUUAGUAUUCUAGUGGGCAUGCCUGUUCGAGCGUCAUUUCAACCCUUAAGCCUAGCUUAGUAUUGGGAAUCGACUUUACUGUCGUUCCUCAAAUUCAACGGCGGAUUUAUAGCAAUCUCUGAACGUAGUAAUAUUUUUCCUCGUUUUUGAAAUACUAUAAACCUCAGCCGCUAAACCCCCAAUUUUUCUAUGGUUGACCUCGGAUCAGGUAGGAAUACCCGCUGAACUUAAGCAUAUCAAUAAGCGGAGGA
rnacentral:misc_RNA from 1 species